ACAUUUAUAGCUAAGUGGUCGAAAGCAAUGGACUCAUAAUUCAUUUUCGAUCAUCAGUAGUUCGAAUCUACUUAAAUGUA
rnacentral:tRNA from 1 species